UACGGGGGGGGCAAGCGUUGUUCGGAAUUACUGGGCGUAAAGGGCUCGUAGGUGGCCAACUAAGUCAGACGUGAAAUCCCCAGGCUUAACUGGGGAACUGCGUCUGAUACUGGAUGGCUUGAGUUUGGGAGAGGGAUGCGGAAUUCCAGGUGUAGCGGUGAAAUGCGUAGAUAUCUGGAGGAACACCGGUGGCGAAGGCGGCAUCCUGGACCAACACUGACACUGAUGAGCGAAAGCCAGGGGAGCAAACGGG
rnacentral:rRNA from 1 species